rnacentral:lncRNA from 1 species
UGCUAACCACACCCAAGUUCCCUGCACGUCAAAGAUCAUAGACAAGGGCAUUAGUCUAUGAACAGGAAUGAAAUUACAUUGAGAUUCUGAUAAGUAAUACCUUAGGCAGAAGGUAACCUCCUAUCUCCACUUCUUUUGAUGUUUCUCUUGCAACUAAUGGAGAAACUAUGUAGAACCUCAUAGCUUCUUUGAUCACCUAAAGUCAAACCAGAUACAAGAAUAAAUCCAGUCUUGAAUUUUUUGUGACAAUGCAAAAAAAAAUGUCAGAAAAUGAAGAAGCGCCAGGGACUUACCAGAUCAAGAUAAGGAAAUUUAUGUUGGAGAUCAUAAGCAGUUGGCACCUGGUCAUGUGGACCAAACCCAUCAAUCUCUGCAACCAACUUUUUCUCAACCUCUGGAUGUCCAGCAACUAAAUAAACAAUCGAUGACAAUGUAAAGGAUGUCGUUGCUGAACCAGCAAGGAGGUGUUCAUAAGUAACUGCACUGAUAUAGUCAGGAGUGAAAACCUUCUUGGCCACAUUCUCUGAUUCCCUUGCACUCAAUAUUUGAGACAAGAAGUCCUUUGAACCUCGGUUCUUGUCUUUCAUUCUGUUUGACACAAUCUCAUCAAGCCUGCCACUCAGUUUCUUGUUAGUCCUCUCAACUUUCCAGUCCAUGGUUCCCGGUAUUCGUUUCAAAAUCUGCCUGAAAGGCUCCUGUAAUAUGGGAACAAGUAAACCUAAUAUAAUCGACACAGAACCUGACAAGUCCAUCUUAAGUUGUGUUGUGGAGUAGAUAUGUUGAUUGAUGAAGUCAGAGACUUCAUCAUCUUGACUGCCUUGUUUAUCCACGGUCCUGAUUGAUUCAUUGAUCGAUUGUGGUUUAGUGAGACCAAAGUUAACCCCAAAAGCAGCUUGUCCAAUUACAUCAGUUGCCAAUUUGAGUGAAAGGUUAGAGAAAACAAUGUCUUGUUUAGAUGAAUGGAGAUUUUCAGUAGCUGAUUCAAUGUAAUUUUGCAUGGUGGGAACUAGGCUAGCCAAGUGUGAUGGUUGAUAGACAGAUAAUAUUGUGUUCCUCAUGGUGGACCAUCCUGCAUCCCUGGAAUUUGAGAUGUCAUCAAGUUCAUAAUCUUAAAAAGAGACCCUUUAUGGGGUUAGCUAUAUAUAUGUGAGAGUACCUGGUGAAAAAAAGACCCUUUUGAUGAAGUGGGGAGGCAGCAAUAGGUGAAGGAAUGCUUCUAUUUGGAAUGUCCUUGAAUUUCUUUAUUCCAACUUCUUUACAAAGCUCUGCAUCUGCAACGAUUAUCAAGGGUUGUCUACCCAUAUGAAACCUGUGCCACCACCAAAAAACCAGCCCUUUGUUUUACUAUUAAAGUUAAUUUUGUGGAACAAAGUGGGGUGGCCGUAAUGCAACAUCUUGUAUAAAUUUGUAAGAUGCAACCAAUCAGAUACCUUUUAGAUGUAAAAUAACAAAAACAUG